UACGUAGGGUCCGAGCGUUGUCCGGAGUUACUGGGCGUAAAGGGUGCGUAGGCGGCGCGGUAAGUCGGGUGUGAAAUCUCGGAGCUUAACUCCGAAACUGCAUUCGAUACUGCCGUGCUUGAGGACUGGAGAGGAGACUGGAAUUUACGGUGUAGCGGUGAAAUGCGUAGAUAUCGUAAGGAAGACCAGUGGCGAAGGCGGGUCUCUGGACAGUUCCUGACGCUGAGGCACGAAGGUCAGGGGAGCAAACGGG
rnacentral:rRNA from 1 species